GACGUAGGGGGCAAGCGUUGUCCGGAAUCAUUGGGCGUAAAGCGCUCGUAGGCGGACCUUUAAGUCGGUGAAGAAAGACCUGGGCUCAACUCAGGGAACGGCAUCGAUACUAUUGGUCUUGAGGUAGUCAGAGGAUGAUGGAAUUCCCGGUGUAGCGGUGAAAUGCGUAGAUAUCGGGAAGAACACCAAAGGCGAAAGCGCUCUGCUGGGCCGAAACUGACACUGAGAGACGAAAGCUAGGGGAGCGAAUGGG
rnacentral:rRNA from 1 species